UACGUAGGGCGCAAGCGUUGUCCGGAAUUAUUGGGCGUAAAGAGCUCGUAGGCGGUUUGUCGCGUCUGCUGUGAAAACCUAAGGCUCAACCUUGGGCUUGCAGUGGGUACGGGCAGACUAGAGUGCGGUAGGGGUGACUGGAAUUCCUGGUGUAGCGGUGGAAUGCGCAGAUAGUCAGGAGGAACACCGGUGGCGAAGGCGGGUCU
rnacentral:rRNA from 1 species